GACGAACGCUGGCGGCGUGCUUAACACAUGCAAGUCGAACGGAAAGGCCCUGCUUUUGUGGGGUGCUCGAGUGGCGAACGGGUGAGUAACACGUGAGUAACCUGCCCUUGACUUUGGGAUAACUUCAGGAAACUGGGGCUAAUACCGGAUAGGAGCUCCUGCUGCAUGGUGGGGGUUGGAACGUUUCGGCGGUUGGGGAUGGACUCGCGGCUUAUCAGCUUGUUGGUGGGGUAGUGGCUUACCAAGGCUUUGACGGGUAGCCGGCCUGAGAGGGUGACCGGCCACAUUGGGACUGAGGUACGGCCCAGACUCCUACGGGAGGCAGCAGUGGGGAAUAUUGCACAAUGGGCGGAAGCCUGAUGCAGCAACGCCGCGUGCGGGAUGACGGCCUUCGGGGUGUAAACCGCUUUCGCCUGUGACGAAGCGUGAGUGACGGUAAUGGGUAAAGAAGCACCGGCUAACUACGUG
rnacentral:rRNA from 1 species